rnacentral:rRNA from 1 species
AGCGAACGCUGGCGGCAGGCCUAACACAUGCAAGUCGAACGAACUCUUCGGAGUUAGUGGCGGAGGGGUGAGUGACACGUGGGAAGGUGCAUUUUGGUUCGGAAUAACUCAGGGAAACUUGUGCUAAUACCGAAUGUGCUCUUCGGGGGAAAGAUUUAUCGCCAUUAGAGCGGCCCGCGUCUGAUUAGCUAGUUGGUGAGGUAAUGGCUGGCCAAGGCGACGAUCAGUAGCUGGUCGGAGAGGAUGACCAGCCACACUGGGACUGAGGCACGGCCCAGACUCCUACGGGAGGCAGCAGUGGAGAAUCUUGCGCAAUGGACCAAAGCCUGACGCAGCCAUGCCGCGUGAAUGAUGAAGGUCUUAGGAUUGUAAAAUUCUUUCACCGGGGACGAUAAUGACGGUACCCGGAGAAGAAGCCCCGGCUAACUUCGUG